rnacentral:misc_RNA from 1 species
GAUUCUUUUGAUCAUAUCCACACCUAAUAUCAUUGAAGUCAUCAGGCAAUUUAAUCAAAGAACUACAAGCACAAUAAGUUUCAAGCUUUCAUUUCUGCUCAAGUCUCGAAAUAAAUAAAGUUGUCCGCUAAAGAAUCUAAUUUACUUAUUAGUUUAAUCUGAGUGAUUAUAUGAACAGGGUUUUCAUCAAAAUCAAAAGCUGAAGCGGUGUGAACUUUGAUGUCAAGUCUGAUACCUACCCAAAGGCCAUU